ACACGACUCUCGGCAACGGAUAUCUCGGCUCUCGCAUCGAUGAAGAACGUAGCAAAAUGCGAUACCUGGUGUGAAUUGCAGAAUCCCGCGAACCAUCGAGUUUUUGAACGCAAGUUGCGCCCGAGGCCUUCUGGUCGAGGGCACGCCUGCCUGGGCGUCA
rnacentral:rRNA from 1 species